CAGUAGCCGCGGUAAUACGGAGGGAGCUAGCGUUGUUCGGAAUCACUGGGCGUAAAGCGCACGUAGGCGGCUAUUCAAGUCAGGGGUGAAAGCCCGGGGCUCAACCCCGGAACUGCCUUUGAAACUAGAUAGCUUGAAUCUUGGAGAGGCGAGUGGAAUUCCGAGUGUAGAGGUGAAAUUCGUAGAUAUUCGGAAGAACACCAGUGGCGAAGGCGACUCGCUGGACAAGUAUUGACGCUGAGGUGCGAAAGCGUGGGGAGCAAACAGGAUUAGAUACCCCGGUAGUCCCUGUCUCUUAUAC
rnacentral:rRNA from 1 species